rnacentral:misc_RNA from 1 species
ACAAAAAACAGUGGCUUAGGAAACACCAGUGCUGAGAAUUAAGCAUAAUAUUUUCAUCCAAAUGUGGACCAUAAGCAUCGUGUGUUUGGUAUCCUUGGCUCAUGAAACUACCAGCGUUACUCUUGAAGACCUCAAGCAUUUUCUGCACACACACGAGAAGAUAUGGACUCGUUACCGAAGUUUUGAAGUUGGACCGAAGCAUAACUAUCACAGGUGCAUUUAUGCGGAAGUGAGACCAACAGAACAAGGUCACUACGCGUACGCACAGCACUACGAAUUUGGCUACAGAUGGAUCAGUCAGAUGCUUGUCGCCGAAGUCUUCGAGAGCCGUACUAAACACCCUGUGCUGCGUGUGAAGCUGAAGAACGGCAAGCGUAGGUGCGAGGUUCAAGUUUGGAAUGACCAUGUGAAAUACCACCUGCCCAGGUGUCAAAUGACAUACAAAAGGUAUUGCCCGGGAAAUGAAUUUGAAAUAUAUAUGCGUCACUGCUCACCACCCCGACAUUCUCAGUUGGAAUCACACAUGAUUUCAACAAAAUGAUGUUAAUAAAAGUAUUAGUGGUGUUGAUUAAACUAGCCGUAUUGA